UUCCCGUUCAAUAUUUAUUCCAUGGUUAUUUUUCAACAAGAUUGCACAACCCAUCCUUCUUCCCUUUAACAUACACAAUUGCUGCUGUUUUUAGUUUAUUUUACAGAUUACAUGGUGAAUUGUUUCAUAUGUAUUGAAUGUUACAAUUAUAUUGUUAUGUAUCAUCAAAUAUGUCAGAUGCUUUAACAAAAAGAAUGUCUAUCGUCA
rnacentral:lncRNA from 1 species